rnacentral:rRNA from 1 species
UACGAAGGGGGCUAGCGUUGUUCGGAGUUACUGGGCGUAAAGGGCGCGUAGGCGGCGCAUCAAGUCAGGCGUGAAAGCCCUGGGCUCAACCCGGGAAUUGCGCUUGAGACUGGUGUGCUCGAGUACGGGAGAGGAUAGUGGAAUUCCCAGUGUAGAGGUGAAAUUCGUAGAUAUUGGGAAGAACACCGGUGGCGAAGGCGGCCAUCUGGCUCGGUACUGACGCUCAGGCGCGAAAGCGUGGGGAGCAAACAGG